rnacentral:rRNA from 1 species
GUGCCAGCCGCGGCGGUAAUACGGAGGGUGCAAGCGUUAAUCGGAAUUACUGGGCGUAAAAGCGCACGCAGGCGGUCUGUCAAGUCGGAUGUGAAAUCCCCGGGCUCAACCCGGGAACUGCAUUCGAAACUGUCAGGCUGGAGUCUCGUAGAGGGGGUAGAAUUCCAGGUGUAGCGGUGAAAUGCGUAGAGAUCUGGAGGAAUACCGGUGGCGAAGGCGGCCCCCUGGACGAAGACUGACGCUCAGGUGCGAAAGCGUGGGGAGUAAACAGGAUUAGAUACCCUGGUAGUCCACGCCGUAAACGAUGUCUAUUUGGAGGUUGUGCCCUUGAGGUGGUGGCUUCCGGAGCUAACGCGUUAAAUAGACCGCCUGGGGAGUACGGCCGCAAGGUUAAACUCAAAUGAAUUGACGGGGCCCGCACAAGCGGUGGAGCAUGUGGUUUAAUCGAUGCAACGCGAAGAACCUUACCUGGUCUUGACAUCCACAGAACUUGGCAGAGAUGCCUUGGUCGCCUUCGGGAACUGUGAGAC